rnacentral:siRNA from 1 species
CCAUGCAAAAGAUGUGACUAUGGC